GAUGAACGCUAGCGGCAGGCCUAACACAUGCAAGUCGAGGGGUAGCAGGAUUAAGCUUGCUUAAUUGCUGACGACCGGCGCACGGGUGCGUAACGCGUAUGCAGCCUACCUUAUACUGGGGUAUAGCCCGGAGAAAUUCGGAUUAAUCCCCCAUAGUACUAAUGAAUCGCAUGGUUUAUUAGUUAAAGCAUUGCGGUAUAAGAUGGGCAUGCGUACUAUUAGCUAGAUGGUGAGGUAACGACUCACCAUGGCUACGAUAGGUAGGGGUCCUGGGAGGGUGGUCCCCCACACCUGUACUGAGACACGGACCAGACUCCUACGGGAGGCAGCAGUGAGGAAUAUUGGUCAAUGGGCGCAAGCCUGAACCAGCCAUGCCGCGUGCAGGAAGAAUGCCCUAUGGGUUGUAAACUGCUUUUAUUUGGGAAUAAACCUCUUUACGUGUAGAGAGCUGAAGGUACCAAAUGAAUAAGCACCGGCUAACUCCGUGCCAGCCGCCGCGGUAA
rnacentral:rRNA from 1 species